UACGGUCAUAUCAUUUUGAAACACCCGGUCACCGAUGUUAAGCAACGCUGUGUUUAGUCAGUACUGAGAUGGGUGACCGCUUGGGAAUAGCAGAU